CUGUGUCAUCAGCUGGACGGGUUUGGUAUAAUUCCAUUAGCAGCCGUGAUUUUUGCGUUAGGCAGACGAGUGCCAAUGGACUUGGAAACCGGCGAACCUCACUUUGUCCACACUAUAUCUAUCCCGCACCAGUCUCCGGAGUCUUCGUCACAGAGUGGCUCUUUGGGACGGUUGCCUUUCCAAUGUUACAGAAGCAAAUUAAGUAGGAGUACUUGGGCAAGCAGCGGAAACCCGGCGCUGGAUUGAGGAACAUGACGUACGCUGAUACUAGAAGAAGAGGAGGUCUCGUCACUCUCGUUUGCUUUUCCGCCAUGUUCUGGUUGCUGGUAUCGCAGUCCAUCUGCUCCGGGCGACUCCAGGGCACCUUCAAUGGGGCGUCCGGUUGUGUUAUUACUUCGUCUACUGGUUCAAAGAAUUGUCUUGGGAACUCGUCGCCGACCACGAACGCCAAUCCUCCUCCCACAAGCACUGACCCGUACAAGAAGAGAGUAAAUCCACCCGCACACUGACCUUCUACAAGUAUGGCGUGAUGGCGCGGCUUUGAUGCCCUUUCACCACUAUGUUUCCCUGUAGUAUUUGUCAUCGAGUGUGAGAAAGAGUGAUGUUACGGUGGGCAACUCAAGUCGGUUGACCGUUGAAUCUAUGUUUUAUUUCUCUGUUAGCUUUUCUCGUUAAACGUCAACAAUAAAAAAAAUACCGCUUUUGA